rnacentral:rRNA from 1 species
AUGCAGUCGAACGAUGAUGCCCAGCUUGCUGGGUGGAUUAGUGGCGAACGGGUGAGUAACACGUGAGUAACCUGCCCUUGACUUCGGGAUAACUCCGGGAAACCGGGGCUAAUACCGGAUAUGAGCCGCUCUCGCAUGGGGGUGGUUGGAAAGUUUUUCGGUCAGGGAUGGGCUCGCGGCCUAUCAGCUUGUUGGUGGGGUGAUGGCCUACCAAGGCGACGACGGGUAGCCGGCCUGAGAGGGCGACCGGCCACACUGGGACUGAGACACGGCCCAGACUCCUACGGGAGGCAGCAGUGGGGAAUAUUGCACAAUGGGCGAAAGCCUGAUGCAGCGACGCCGCGUGAGGGAUGAAGGCCUUCGGGUUGUAAACCUCUUUCAGCAGGGAAGAAGCGCAAGUGACGGUACCUGCAGAAGAAGCGCCGGCUAACUACGUGCCAGCAGCCGCGGUAAUACGUAGGGCGCAAGCGUUGUCCGGAAUUAUUGGGCGUAAAGAGCUCGUAGGCGGUUUGUCGCGUCUGGUGUGAAAACUCGAGGCUCAACCUCGAGCUUGCAUCGGGUACGGGCAGACUAGAGUGCGGUAGGGGAGACUGGAAUUCCUGGUGUAGCGGUGGAAUGCGCAGAUAUCAGGAGGAACACCGAUGGCGAAGGCAGGUCUCUGGGCCGCAACUGACGCUGAGGAGCGAAAGCAUGGGGAGCGAACAGGAUUAGAUACCCUGGUAGUCCAUGCCGUAAACGUUGGGCACUAGGUGUGGGGCUCAUUCCACGAGUUCCGUGCCGCAGCAAACGCAUUAAGUGCCCCGCCUGGGGAGUACGGCCGCAAGGCUAAAACUCAAAGGAAUUGACGGGGGCCCGCACAAGCGGCGGAGCAUGCGGAUUAAUUCGAUGCAACGCGAAGAACCUUACCAAGGCUUGACAUGCACGGGAAGCCACCAGAGAUGGUGGUCUCUUUGGACACUCGUGCACAGGUGGUGCAUGGUUGUCGUCAGCUCGUGUCGUGAGAUGUUGGGUUAAGUCCCGCAACGAGCGCAACCCUCGUCCCAUGUUGCCAGCGGGUUAUGCCGGGGACUCAUGGGAGACUGCCGGGGUCACUCGGAGGAAGGUGGGGAUGACGUCAAAUCAUCAUGCCCCUUAUGUCUUGGGCUUCMGCAUGCUACAUGGCCGGUACAAGGGCUGCGAUACCGU